GGGGUGAAGAUGCUUCCUUGAGGGGGUUUAUUCCUGUAAUAUAAAGUACCAGAAACCAAGCUGAUGAGUCCCAUAGCCAUAGCAGCUGCAGAGACUCCAAACCCAACAUCCAUNNNNNNNGGACCCACACAAGAACAGUAAGGGCAAUAAGUUCACCUAUUGAAAAAGCAAAAUAGGCAACAUUGAAGUAGGUGGAAAGCUUCUUGGAUUGCUUUGGGUUAUUUUGGUUAAAUUGGUCAGCUCCAUGAGCAAUCAUAUUGGGUUUAACACAUCCACUCCCUAGUGCCACCAAGUAUAGUGCUACAAAAAAAAUUAAUGCCUUUAAGCCCUUUGCUUCAACACACUGUUCUUCAUUAAUGUUGCACUGGGGUGGCUUUAGCUGGGGAAGAUGAGCUUGGACUGAUAACAAUAUGAAACCAGAAAGUUCCACAAAACCAAAGAUGAGCAGGGUCCAGAAACACCCAAGAUAGGAGUCUGAGAGGUAGCCACCAAGGAGGGCCAAUAUAAAGACAGUUCCAACAAAGUUUGUCACUAUGUUUGCAGACCUUGACAAAGAGAAGUGCAUCUCAUUC
rnacentral:misc_RNA from 1 species